UAUUUAUUUAUUUAUUUUGAGAUAGAGUGGUCUGAAAAUACUGAAAUAAAAUGUCUUGAAUACUCAGACUCAAAACAUAGGGUCUGUGGGGGAAAAUCGCCCAAUUUGGGAAAGAAUAAUUUUCAAAUCCUUCUAUAAAUUAUUUCAGACAAGAAAAGCAUUUCCUGCACCUCCUCACUCUUAACAGCUAUGCCAUAAGGAUAUUGCUCCUUUGCCCCCACAGACUCCUCUGCCUUCGGGUGGCUUGGUGCCCUUCCCAACUGGACAAGACCUGAUCAUGCAUGUACCUAGAAAUGUAGCUCCUGGGUGACACAUGAAAUCCCACCCCACGUGCCCCCGAUUGUCCUCACAGGACGCUGAAUGUAUGUGAAGAAGAAAGUCCAGCAGAUACCAAAUCGCUGUGCUGCAUCACCUCCCAAAGGCACCUGCAAAUCCCACCCAGCAAUUACACAAACCUCCCUCCCAGCGCUAACAACUCCCAGGAGUGCAAAGUAGAUGAAAUUGGUAGGCUUGGGACUACCAGCAAAUACUGCUCCUUAUCUGGGGAAGGAGUUGGAGCUGUUUUGCUGCUCUCUGCAUUGCUGUUGGGGAGCCAGGCAGUUGGUUUGGGGGCUGCUCUCCUUGUCCUGAGAUCCAUGGGAAAGAAAACGCAGGGAGAACAGGAAAUGUAUGAAGAACUGGUGGAAAAAAGAGUCAGCUCUGGCUGGUUAUUUUUGACCGAGAGCUCUGAGCAUCUGCUGGCUUUAGUUUUGCUAACUGUACUUUUUAAUUUUGGCAAGGACACACGGAGCCCAGGAAAGGAAUGCUCUGAGUAUAUAAUUAUAAAUCAAAAUAUAAUGCAAUAAGUAAAAUGAGCACUGAAAAACACCACUCGCUAACUGUAUAUGCCAUCUACCUAAUAGUUCCAGGCCGUGAGUCACCACUUGAAUUAAAGAGGUACAGCGAGUCCGAGGGCCAGCUCCACACAGGUAGUCAGGCUCUACACCUGCCCUUGCUCCUACUGCUUGGUGAAGUCAACUGCUCCUAGAUCCUAACCCCCUGGGGCCCUGUGCUCAUAUAUGGGUGUCACACCUGGCUGCCCCGUCAUGCCAAGCUGUGCCUUCCAAUUUCCUGUGUUAUACAGGCACAGGGUUAAAUGCCUGAGAAAUGGGGUUAUGGGCUUGACUAGGCAUCAGCAAAAUAAGCAAAAGAAAUCCUGGUCUAGGUUAGGGCUAACCAACACUGUAAAAGGCAGCUGGAACUAUCAGGAGAUGGACACCUACACCAUGGCAGUCCUUUCCUACAGAAAAAAAAAAAAAAAAAAAGAAGGAAGAAAGAGGAGCCCUGAGGGCUGCAGCACGUUUGGGACCAGAAGAGCCAGCCCAAGCUCUAAUCCCUGCCCUGCCAGGCUGGGGCAAGCCUUGCAGCAAGAGAGAUGAUGACUUAUGUUGGGCUGCAGUUCUGGGGUGCGGGAGGCUGCAGGAGCAGGGUGGCUCUUCAGAAAAGGUGCCUGCAGCUGCAUUUUGGAAAUGUCCACUCGGUGCAUUAGUGAAUGAAAUGUGAGGGUGAGAGGAGCAAGAAUGCAGAUGGGAGAGAUUUCUACUGCUUGCCUUAACACCCUGAAUGCAAGAUUAAGUUUCCAUGAAGAUAAAGAGCAGGAAAGUGGUGUAAGGGUUUUUCACAUGCACAUAAGCACUGAUUAUCCCUGGUGUAACAAAGCACCCACCUACCUAGCUGUAACUCCCAGGCAAAGCCACAGACCAGGGCUAGACCUUCUCUCUGCAACCUGCACUUGUGCAACAGGAACUUAUAAAAAAGAGCACUGCAAAAUAAUUCAGGACUGCUUCGCUGUGAGCUGUCAGGGUCCUGUAGUAAUAACUCAUGGUGAUUUCAUAGCAGCUCCAAGCCAGGCGGUUUCCAUACUGCUGGCAAGGCCAUGUGUCCUUGCCUUUGGGCUGCUCUCCUCCCCACUGGAAUUCAGCCACCUCCGCACUGGGACACUCUGGGAUUUUAAUCCUGUAAAUGAGGGCACCAACCCUGACCUCAAGGCUUCCCUGGGAGUGAGGGACUUGCUGCAGCAUCCUUUGGUUUAGUUUCCAGAUGCUCAAGUAUUCCUGGGAGUUGUUAAUGCUUAAGAAAUGAGCUGGCUUUGGUCAUUAUUACUUAAGUGGAGUGGCUGGCAGAAGGUAGGUACCUGAAACCUUAAGCCAAAAGGUGGGAAUACCUCAUUCCUCUACCUGUGGUCUGUGGCAAAUGCACCGAUGGCACAGUCUCUUGCUGUUCUGACUGGCAAGAAAGAUAAAAGAAAGCCGUUUUGUGACACGUUUUCCUUUACAGACUUCCAGAGAAGCUCUAGGUCUUUUUGAAACAUUAGCAACAACUUGAGAAGGCUUCAAGUAUUUUCAUCCCCGUGAUAUUUGUUCCUUAAGUGCUUUACAUUUCUUAUUUUUGGUAAGGGCAAUAAUAACCAUUAAACCUCAUAAAUCUGGGAGCAAGUCUCCUACCCACCUUGUGUGUAGCUUAAACGAAGCAGAUUUGUUUACGGCAUAUUAAGGGCACUGGGAGGUUGGAACAUUUUUUGCCAGCUGCUCCUUGUGAUAUUUUGGCAGCUCUUGGGACGUCAUUGUCAUUCCCAACAUAUCUCAAGAUGGCUCUCAGAAGACCAAGGAAAGGCAGCCAAGCACAUCUGCACACUCCUGUGAGGCUCAGAGGGCCUUGCACACCCCUUUGUGUCUGCUAAAGGAAACAUGGCUUUGCUGUGCCUUGGGGCAUGGAAGGUCUCCAGGUCACAAAGCUCCUCUCCCUGAAUGCAAGCUGCAAAGCCAGGGAGAAAUAGUACUUUUCUGUUUUUUCUUUUUCUUUUCCUUCUUCUUCUUUAACAUUUAAUCAUCCUAAAGUCUCUUAUUGGAAGCUUGUGAAUUUCUAGGAAAUGGUGUUAACUGAGAUGCUGGAAAUACAGCUCUUUGCUUCCAGGCUGAGCACGCAUGCGGGCUCUGGAAGGUCUCACUGCACACCUGGUUCAUGCUGAUUGCCCUCUAGUUACUGCAUCUGGCAAAAUUAUACCCUGUGCCUGUGAUCUUUUUAUUUACAUACAUUUUCUUUUGCAGGAAGUUAACUUCUAACCCUGGUGAUUGCUCCUUCAUCUGAUAGACCUUUCUGCUUUUCCUAAGACCUUCACCACAUCCAGGAUUUCAUUUGGCUGCUCCCUGUCUUGCACAUUAAAUUCACUUCUGAUUUGAUUCUGCAAAAAUAAUGCCAAAAUGUUUUAAAAGUUUGAUAAUGUAUUUUCUUUCCCGACUGACAAUGCCUCACAGAAAUGUGGCACAUUCACCUGCAGACUUUGGCAGUACACCGUGUGUUGUGUCCUGUGAAAAGCCUCACCCUGAUAAAGCACCAAGGAGUUAGAAUUGACCAAGAUACCGCUGACGAUCAUUUGGAUGUAUUAUCUGCUCUUGACGCUUUCACACUUGAUUACAGGCAAAAGGGCCCCUGGCAGGGCCACCAGGACAACCUGAGUUAUCUCCCACUUCACCCAGGCGGCUGGAAGUGGACAGGACUGAAAGACUUGAGUGUGGCCAUAGACUGAGCUUAUCUCUCUGGCAAUUUGGGCUGAUGAAACAAUCAGUUCCACCACUUUACAGAACAAGCUCUUAAAGCCCUGUCGUUAUUAAAGGUUAAAAAAAGCUGUAGUCUCUCAGGUAGCUUUUACCAAAGCCAAGUAGAGCACAAAUUAGUAUAAAUUGGCACCUCAACACAAGUGUGUAAUUUGCAUUUAGACUACUAAGAGUCAAAUGCAAAUCUUACUUUGCCAGACACAAUGCUACGAAGCUGACUGGUUCGGUGUGUACCGGAGCACUGCUGAGUCAGGAAGGCAGAAGUGGGAUGGGUAUGAAAUGAGAAAGGGUCCAGAGAGGGGUGCAAGUGGAUGACGGCAUGCCCGAGGGAGAGAAAGUCACAGCCAAGAGGAAAAAUAGCACUUGCUGCUAAAGCACAGGAAGGAGAAUCAGGCAUUCUGGGUCUUUUUCCAAAUUAUGGCAUUUUGGAUUUGUUCUGUGACCUUGGGUAAAUAAUUUAUUCUCUUUGUGCACAGUUUCCCCAUCUGUAAAAUAAGGUUAAUAGCUGCUGCUCAAAUAGGUUGGCUUUUCUUGGCUUGGGCAAAGGAAUGAGUCAGGGCAGACUUUGGCACACAGCAAGCCUGUGACGUGCUAAGAGACCACAGAAGUGAGAAGAGCAGAUAGUUAUUGCCUCUUUUACCUGAAGUAGCUGCAAGCCCCCGCUGGACCAGAAGGGCUGCAGCCAGGAGCUGCCAGGGGGCUCCAGGUCGCACCGGAGUGCACUUGGACCAGCCUCUGCUGUGGCUUUUGCAUUUUUCUUUACUAGAGAAGCAACAUAGAAUGAAGCAAAGUGGCCUCUGACAGCUUUAGAAGCACCAUGAGAGGAAUAGCUAUUUCUCGCAUUGUGCUGCAGCUUCCUCUACCUUCAUUUCCACCCUUCAUCUUGAAACCCAUACUGCUAUUUUUGAAAGUGAAGAUUAAUGCAAUAUUGUACUUCUCUGAUUUUUUAUUUUUUUUUCAGCCAACUAUAGGGCACAGUAGAUGUAUUCUCCUUGGAAACUUGUUAGCUGGCUGCGAGCGAUGUGAAAACACAUCAAAUGCAGCAGCUUGGGUCUGUCCGUACUCUCAGUCCCUUUUCUGCUGAAGCUGCCAUACAACACACCUCCCCAGUAUGGGCAACACAACUCCUUAUAGAACUUUCUUUGUGUUUUAGAGCCUUGCAAAACUGGUGGCUUAAAUGGAUUUGUAGGUUUAAUGAAUAACCAUCCACACCACAGCCCAGAGCAUCUACUCAUCUCGGUAACGUGUGAAUCACGCAGUGAGAUGUGGAAUAUUCAUAUCAAAUCCAAUGACUUGAUUAACACCGUGGUUGAUGAAGCUGAUAGUAUGGUUUGAUCAAAUCACUGAAUUUCUGUGAAUACUCAACAUUUGCACCAACAUACCCUAGAAGAGAAUUUAAUCUAAAAAUUAUGAGAAACCCUUUUAUGACAAGCUAUAAAUGCUCACAUUCUGUGUAACUUUAUAUUCCCUUCUUGGUUUCUAUAAUAUUGGUAAAGUACAGAGUCUCUUCGAGGUAGGUCCCAGUAGAACAUCAACUACAAAUUAGUUUUACUACGCACCCAACUAUUUCUUAGUGGUUUUAAAAUGCAGCGCCCAACUCAUUCAUACUAUAUUAGUGCUGGCCUGAAUCCCUGUGAAACUGCUUAUUUUAAUUUCAGUGCACAAUCAAAAGAAAAUUCAAGAGUUGCACAAUUCAGGAAAAUGCAGCAAGGUGCCAACCUCCAGCGUGCUCCGUUCCACCAGCAGAAGCAGAACCGCACGCGAGGCAGCUGGGCUGGCUGGGGGCCAGCGGCAGCAGGGACCUGGCUCCGGUGGCACGGCGCAGCAUUGCUCCCUGCUCUGUUUGCUCAGACAAUAAAAUAACUGCUCUGUUCCCCCGCAGGGCACAGUUUUAUGCACUGCUAAGGUGAACAAUAAACCAGCCUGGACAGCAGAUCGGUUCUCCUGGCCAUAUAACAAUGAACAGCAUCCAUAUAUUUUUAGUGAAUUGCCUGGAUUUCUCUAUCUUUUAUAAAAAAGAAGUGAUGUGCACAUAUAAGGCAGCUCACAUUUUAGGAGUUUCCUAUUAUAGAUGUCAUUCCCAAUGGUUAAUAACUCAUCCGAGUAUGACUUGAGUAGCCCACAUCAUCAAUAUUAAAUGUGACAUUUACUAUCAAGAACAAAGUUUUGGGGCUGCUGCCAGCCCCACUCAUAGAGCUGUAAAUAUUUUGAUCAUUGAACAGGAAGAAAGAGGAGAUGAUCAGCCUGUGCUCACGCCUGAUCCAGUGGGGAGUAAACGGGUGUUUGCACAGAGCCCCGAGUGGCUCAGCACCUGCAGCCUUGGCAGGAGCAUCCCAGCAGUGAGUGGAGCUCCUGUGCCCCCCUGCCCAGGCUGGUACCUGUGCUACGGAGACUGGGCUGCUGCUGAGGCUGCAAAGGGGUGCACAGGGGGAGAGGAAGAAACCCCUCCAGGGUUUUAACAGCACUGCAAUUGGGAACACAAAUGUUCACGUAAACUGAACACUGCACAGACUGGGAACUGAGGAACCCUGCUGCCCUGGGGAAGACCUCCUGGCCCCACAGCCACCACUUUCCAACAGGUCCCACGAAUGGGAUCAGUAGCACAUCACCUUUCCUACUGGAAACCAGCAGGUAGGACAUCUGGCAAGUAAUUCAUGCAAUAAUUUCACCCUUUUGUAAUAUUUUGCAGCUAUAGUUUGCUCAUGGCUGUAUUCAGCCUGGAGCUCCAGUUGCCCAGGAUGCCUAAAAAUCAAUUAAAUCACAUGUAUCCAUUUCUGCCCAUAAACAUUUUGGUGCCUACAUGUUUACUACACAUUGCUGUUGCUAUAGCUACUUCAUGGUUGGAUUUGUUUGUUGCAGGGCCAUCACUGCUGAAUGUUACACACAGGUACAGACCCAAGAAACUGCUGUAGUUUGAAAUGCCUUAUCACUCUGCCGCUAUACUUGGCACACAGCUAAGACACCGCAGAGCUUACAAGAAGAAAAACCCUUGGGAGGGUCCCCCACGUUAGAGUUUCUUCCUUGCAUUUCACCCUUCCCAACUGAAAAGGCAGCAAGGGAGGCUGAGCCUUCGCUCCAGCUGGGAGGUGGGGAUGACAGGAGCAGUGCUGCUGAAUAAUGGACUCUUCAGCUCAAUGAAUGUACUGAAAAACAGAACUUUGGCUUGACCCAAAAUAUUUCGCUUUGCCUAAAGAAAAAAUUUUGUUUUGUUCUGGAUUACUGAAAUUAGGCUUUUAUUAUUGUUGUUGUUGUUGUUGUUACUGUUGUUACUAUUGUUACUAUUGUUGCUAUUAUUAUUAUUUAUUUUCUUAACAAGAAAAGUUACCUUAGUACUAUUUCAAAAAGAGGGAGGAACCAUUUCAUUCAGAAAAUAUCAGAAUGAACCACUUCCUUUCGCAACUGUCCAGAGAAAAUGUGUAGACACCCCUGAAUCACACAUCUCAUUGCUGCAACAUGAACAACUCCCUGUGGCUGCAAGCUGGGCAAUGCCCCCAGCUCCUCCUGAACUGGAGUAUUUUGGCAAAUACACAAUUUGCUAAAAAAUGUCACUCAGCUACAGCAGUAAGAGAACAUCAAACAAAUACCAGUGAAUUGUUACUUUGAUUUUUUAUUUUAUUUUUCUAGAGACUAUUCUAUUAAGGGGAGGGAUUUCUGGAAGAGCACCAAGCAUGUUUUCAUGACUCCGACCCUCUAACUAUAAAUGACAAGUAAGUAUGGAAGGUCUCAUUACUGUGGAAUGGCACUGUAUAAUACAGACUGCAAAUAGCAAACAGCCUCAUUACGCCCAUUAUCAUCUUUUAUCAUUGUUUAAUUGUGUGCAUCAAUUUUUAAUAAAGAAACUUCAUGUGCCUAUGAAUUAGACCAUACUGAGAGGGGCCUUUAUUGAUUGCAGAAACAUCACCAGGCUAGCUGGGUCAUCUGGAUUCAGAAGCUAGGUGGAGCAGAAGAAAGCAUCUUCGUUAUUCUGGGCUGCAUGAUGAACAGAAACACUUGUUAAACUUUACUCAGUGUCACUUAACGAUAUUAGCCCUCCUGGACCAGAGUGAUUUUACUGCUCCUCCAAAUAAUGACAAAUGGUGCAGCUGGACAGAGCUGAGCUAUUCACUCCAGUGAUAAUUGCUGCACAAUGAUAUUAAAGAAGCAUUCACCAAAAA